UUCUUCCUCUCCUGUUAACCUGAGAAAACACAAUGAGAGUUUAAGUUCAUCUAAACUGGGCAGAGUCUAUGUGAGACUCCAGUGGCUGGUGCACUUCUCAGUCCAAGGGACCCCACCUUAUGACAAUGGCAUCAUCAUGAGGACACAGUAGUGUAUGUGGAAUGGGCAGCAAACCCAUCAGACAGCACCUGCCUGGCCGGCUCCACCUGGGGAAGGUCCUGGGGAAUGACUGGAGGAUGUGAGCCUCACACCAAGAUGAGGACGGAAGUCAAUGGAUGAAAUUAGCCUCUGGGCCUUGGGGAAAGCAGACCUGUCAUCCUGCCUCUGACUGCCUGACCAGAAUCUCCACUUCUGAGCUGCGGAUGCACAAGACAAAAGGAAGUGAACCCAUGACUGGCCUCAGAUGCAGAUGCCUAACAACAAACAGCCCCAUCACCCCCGGUUGAGGAGAGGAGGGGGCUGUGGCUGCAGACAGACCUCAUAUGUCUCUAAUCUGCCACCUAUGGCCUGUGUGACCCUUGUUAGUGACUGUCUCCCUGUCCCUCAAUUUCCUUUCUAUAAGUAGGAUAAGUGCUAUUUGGCUGUGAGGUUGUUUGUGAGUUAACCUCAAAAUAUUUACAAUUACUUGAUCUCAGCUCUGCACAGAGGAGCUGCCCAAGUGAACAGUUAUCUAUGAUUAUUUGCUUCCAAGACAGAGGGCCCUGGGCCUGAUCCCUGGUGGACAUGGAGCUGCCAGGAGCAUCCUCUCUUCUCUGUUCCUCCCCUUGGGGACUCUGAACUUCCCAGGGAGUAACCUGUGUCCCCCAGGGCAGUGGGCUCAUGCACUAGUAAUUUUUUCCAUCUGUCCUUUCCAUGCUGAGCCUCAAGUGAAGGAGGAGGCCCUAUCCUCAGCUAGAUGAGGCUCUGGGUGCUCGGACCUGGCUGGUGACCAACUCCAGGAGUCAUGGCCCUUGGAUAGCUCACAUCCUUGCUCCCAGCCAGCCCUGCCCAAGAGGCCACCACACAGCCCUGGCACAGACUCCCCAGGAUCACCUGGAAUCAGGAACCAGGGACAGGGCUUUGUACAGGGGCUCAGUUCAGGGAAGAGUUGAGCUUCUCUCUGAGGGGUCCCUAGGGGGACCCCUCAGGCCAGGCCCUGAUCCAGUUCUCCAGGGUCUUUCUCAGGGUCAGGUCCAUGGGGAGACCAUGGGGUGCUUGUCUGACACUGACCUCGCCCUGCUGAGUCCCCCCAUCAGACUGUCCUUCCUCUGCAGCGAGUGUCUGCAGGGUCUGGAUCCAGGAAAGGAAUUCUGAUCUGUGGAAGUUUGUCUCCCCCGUGUGUGUCCUGCACUAAAUGUCCAAACCCUGAUACAGGAUGUAAUGCAGAGAGGGCCACAGGCACAACCCAGGCCUGACAAUCCCGUAUGUGGGAAGUAGAACUGACCCCCAACACCCAGAGGUCAUGUGGAAAUACUCACGGUAUACAUGGAACUGUCCGGUUGCUUCUUCAUUCACAAGAUCUGACUUUAUGACUUGUAGGGUAUAGAAUCCUGUGUCAUUCUGGGUGACGUUCUGGAUCAGCAGGGAUGCAUUGGGGUAUAUUGUCUCUCGACCACUGUAUGCGGGCCCUGGGGUAGCUUGUUGAGUUCCUAUUACAUAUCCUACAAUUA